UACGUAGGGUGCUAGCGUUGUUCGGAAUCAUUGGGCGUAAAGAGCGUGUAGGCGGCCAGGUAGGUCGGUUGUGAAAACUGGAGGCUCAACCUUCAGAGGUCGACCGAAACCAUCUGGCUAGAGUCCGGGAGAGGAGAGUGGAAUUCCUGGUGUAGCGGUGAAAUGCGCAGAUAUCAGGAAGAACACCCGUGGCGAAAGCGGCUCUCUGGAACGGUACUGACGCUGAGACGCGAAAGCGUGGGGAGCGAACAGG
rnacentral:rRNA from 1 species